GAACGGCAGCACGGACGGUCUGGUGGCGAGUGGCGAACGGAGUGAGUAAUGUAUCGGAACGUGCCUAGUAGCAGGGGAUAACUACGCGAAAGCGUAGCUAAUACCGCAUACGCCCUUCGGGGAAAGCGGGGGACCUUCGGGCCUCACUAUUAGAGCAGCCGAUAUCCGGAUUGGCUAGUUGGUGGGGGUAACGGCUCACCAAGGCGACGAUCCGUAGCUGGUUUGAGAGGACGACCAGCCACACUGGGACUGAGACACGGCCCAGACUCCUACGGGGAGGCAGCGGUGGGAAUUUUGGACAAUGGGGAAACCCUGAUCCAGCCAUCCCGCGUGUGCGAUGAAGGCCUUCGGGUUGUAAGCACUUUUGGCAGGAAAGAAACGGCACGGGAUAAUACCCCGUGCAACUGACAGUACCUGCAGAAUAAGCACCGGCUAACUACGUGCCAACAGCCAUG
rnacentral:misc_RNA from 1 species